UGCUGGAACGCGCCCCUGGCGCACCCAGAAACCCUUUGUGAACUUAUACCUUACUGUUGCCUCGGCGCAGGCCGUCCCCUGAUGGGGUCCCUCUGGAGACAGAGGAGCAGCCGGCCGGUGGCCAAAUUAACUCUGUUUUUACACUGAAACUCUGAGUACAAAACAUAAAUGAAUCAAAACUUUCAACAACGGAUCUCUUGGUUCUGGCAUCGAUGAAGAACGCAGCGAAAUGCGAUAAGUAAUGUGAAUUGCAGAAUUCAGUGAAUCAUCGAAUCUUUGAACGCACAUUGCGCCCUCUGGUAUUCCGGAGGGCAUGCCUGUUCGAGCGUCAUUUCAACCCUCAAGCCUGGCUUGGUGUUGGGGCACUGCUCUCUGACGAGAGCAGGCCCUGAAAUAUAGUGGCGAGCUCGCCAGGACUCCGAGCGUAGUAGUUAAACCCUCGCUUUGGAAGGCCUGGCGGUGCCCUGCCGUUAAACCCCAACUUCUGAAAAUUUGACCUCGGAUCAGGUAGGAAUACCCGCUGAACUUAAGCAUAUCAAUAAGCGGAGGA
rnacentral:rRNA from 1 species